GAGCGCGUAGCUCAGCAGGUAGAGCAACGGACUUUUAAUCCGUAGGUCCCGGGUUCGAGUCCCGGCGCGCUCA
rnacentral:tRNA from 1 species